CCUACGGGAGGCAGCAGUGAGGAAUAUUGGUCAAUGGUCGGGAGACUGAACCAGCCAAGCCGCGUGAGGGAGGAAGGUACAGAGUAUCGUAAACCUCUUUUGUCAGGGAACAAAGACUGGGACGCGUCCCCGGAUGAGUGUAGCUGAAGAAAAAGCAGCGGCUAACUCUGUGCCAGCAGCCACGGUAAUACGGAGGAAGCGAGCGUGAACCGGAUUUAUUGGUUUGAAAGGGUGCGCAGGCGGUCUGUUAAGUAAGCGGUCAAAGCCCGGGGCUAAACCCCGGCCCGCCGUUGAAACUGGCAGUCUCGAGUUGGAGAGAAGUAUGCGGAAUGCGCGGUGUAGCGGUGAAAUGCAUAG
rnacentral:rRNA from 1 species